rnacentral:rRNA from 1 species
CCUACGGGUGGCAGCAGUGGGGAAUAUUGGACAAUGGGCGAAAGCCUGAUCCAGCCAUGCCGCGUGUGUGAAGAAGGCCUUCGGGUUGUAAAGCACUUUCAGUGGGGAAGAAAGCCUUGGGGCUAAUACCCUCGAGGAAGGACAUCACCCACAGAAGAAGCACCGGCUAACUCCGUGCCAGCAGCCGCGGUAAUACGGAGGGUGCGAGCGUUAAUCGGAAUUACUGGGCGUAAAGCGCGCGUAGGCGGUCUGAUAAGCCGGUUGUGAAAGCCCCGGGCUCAACCUGGGAACGGCAUCCGGAACUGUCAGGCUAGAGUGCAGGAGAGGAAGGUAGAAUUCCCGGUGUAGCGGUGAAAUGCGUAGAGAUCGGGAGGAAUACCAGUGGCGAAGGCGGCCUUCUGGACUGACACUGACGCUGAUGUGCGAAAGCGUGGGUAGCAAACAGGAUUAGAUACCCUUGUAGUC